UGACCUAGAUUUGUAGAACUGUGUAUGAAGUCUUCAUGAAAAUGUAAUUCAGUUACUGUUUGGGGAAAGAUUUUAGUCUUUACAAUUUUUUUUUUUUUUUUUUUUAAAUAAGGUCAGAGAGUAUUACCCACCCUUUGUCCCUUGGUAAAUAUCUGUGGAGUGAUUAUCACUGCCUUGCAGUUAAGUAUGUAUAUAGCUCUUUAACAGGGUGAGAACUCCUUCAGAGCUGUAACAGUUGCUUAAUUUCUGUGUCCCUGGAGUAGUACAGUCUCUGGCCCUUAUUAGAUGCACAAAUCUUUUAAGAGCAUAGAUGAGAGACCCUGUACCUUGUAUGUGUUCUAUGCAAACAGCAAGUGCCUCUGCUAAUAAGAAAUUGCAUAUAAUAAAGGAAGAUCUGAAAUUACUACCUGUAGUUGCUGUGUAUGUGUGUAUCAUCAUUGAGUGUUACUGUCUACUGUCAUCAAGGCCACUGCUUUCCAAGUUGCUCCAAAGUGACAAACAGCUUAAUCCGAUUUAGACAGGUAUUGUUUUAGGUGUAAAAGUUCAACAUUUAUCCCUAAGCAUACUUCCAUGCUUGAAAGAAUGGCUGCUAAUAUUUCAGUGAUUGAAAUGACACGAUUCUCAGUUAAUCUCUUGCAGGUUAUUUCUGGAAUACUUGCUACCAUUAAGAUACAGAUUUAACUAACCUCUUUUCUUUAAAUCCAAGGACACUGUGACUAUUAAGUAGCAUGUCUUAAAUAAUACACUUGACCUAUCUGUUUUAAUAACUAUGCAUAUAAACUUCAGCCAGGACACCUUAGACUCCUGAACAGAAAGUCUUAAAAUAUUAGCAUGGGGAUUAUAGAGUUUUGUUUUGUUUUUAUAGAGGUACAGUCCUAGAGAGAGAAAGUGGCUUGCAUAGGCUUCUUCCCAUUCUUUUUUUUUUUUUUUUUCUGUCUUUGCCUUUUCUUGGGCCGCUCCCGUGGCAUAUGGAGGUUUCCAGGCUGGGGGUCAAAUCGGAGCUGUAGCCACUGGCCUAUGCCAGAGCCACAGCAACGUGGGAUCCGAGCCGCGGCUGUAACCUACACCACAGCUCAUGGCAACGCCGGAUUGUUAACCCACUGAGCAAGGGCAGGGACCGAACCCACAACCUGAUGGUUCCUAGUUGGAUUCGUUAACCACUGUGCCACGACGGGAACUCCAAUUCUUACGUAGUUUUUUAAGCCAUACCCUCGACAUGCAGAAGUUCCCGGUCCAGGGAUUGACAGUCAAGGCACAGAGUGUUGACAUCAGAUCUUUUAACCACUAGGCCACCAGGGAACUCCUAGCUUAUAGAUUUUUGAAAAUAGUUUCCCUUCUUUUCAAAAUAGCUUCUCUCAUCCCCUUUUGCCUUUGAUAUUAUAACUAAUAAAGUUGGUGUGCCCUAAUCUUUCUUUUGUUCUGAGUACCCAGUGUGCAUUUACCCAGAAGACAGGCAAUUAGACAAAGGCUCAGAGCUUUAAGCAUUGACAGUGAAGAGAAUUCAGUGAUUGGUGUCCCUGUGGAGAUGUGGUGAGAAAUGCCUAUUCAUAGGAACAUUCAAUUUUAUACUCUUCUGUGGGCAUUGACAUCCUGUGGCCUGUUGGUUAAGUGUCCUUGUAACUUUACUCUUCCUUAUCCUUAUUAUCCAAGUGCUUUUCAGUGCUAUGUAAGAGAAGUAUGACAGUGUCUUAGUUACCUAGCUUUAUGUGCUUUCUAUUUCCAAGCUCCUUGUGAUUUCUUUGACAUAGAACAGUACAGCUUUUUUUUUUUUUUUUAAAUAGGCCCACCCACUGUAAAACUUGUAAAGCUUAAAAAAGCUUUAUUCUCUAAGGAAUCAGUUUUGGGAAAUAUCCCCCCCCCUUUUUUAAGGGCCCCACCUGUGGCAUAUGGAAGUUCCUGGGCUAGGGGUUGAAUCAGAGCUACAGCUGCAGACCUAUGCCACAGCCACAACACCAGAUCCUAGCUGCAUCUGUGACCUACACUACAGCUUGUGGCAAUGCCAAAUCCUUAACCCACUGAGUGAGGCCAGGAAUCAAACCCACAUCCUCACAGAUACUGUGUCAAGUUCUUAACCCACUGAGCCACAAUAGGAACUCCAGAGCAUUAUAGCUUUUUAAAGAAUUGUUGAACUGUUUGAAGAAAUGAAAAAAAAUUGUUUUAAAGUCUGCUUUAAGAGUAUAAUUUUCAGGAGUUCCUGUUGUGGCGCAGUGGAAACUAAUCUGACUAGGAACCAUGAGGUUGCGGGUUCAAUCUCUGGCCUCGCUCAGUGGAUUAAGGAUCCGGUUAAGGAUCCGGUGUUGCCGUGAGCUGUGGUGUAGGCUGGCAGCUGUAGCUCCAAUUCAAACCCUAGCUUCCAUAUGCUGCGGAUGUGGCCCUAAAAU
rnacentral:lncRNA from 1 species